GCCGCCAUGGUGAAAUCGGUAGACACGCUGCUCUUAGGAAGCAGUGCGGGAGCAUCUCGGUUCGAGUCCGAGUGGCGGCA
rnacentral:tRNA from 3 species